UGCGUCAUAAGAACUUCUUGGUAGGGCUCGCUAGUCACACAUAGCCAGUUUAGCACGAAGUUUUGUUGUAGGUUUGUCUCAGCGGAUCCUUUUUGCCAAAUUAUGAGCUCUAAGUUCUGCUCUUUUACCACUUUCGUUACCGUGUUAUGGCUGGCAAUGUUUGUGGAAAAGUCAGUGUGCCCUAACGGAAAACCUCCACCGCCAUUAAGCCCCACUUCUGGUCCAUGGAUGUCUGGAACCCACCUAGGUUCCGUAGGUAUCAAUGUCAGUC